ACGAAUUACAAAGUCGGCCUUGCUGUUGCUGGUGGAAACACAUGUGCACGCUCGGUUGCAAAUCCACACACCUGUGCAUCUAUGACCCGAGGUUGUCGUCGUAUGACCGAGGGUAACUUUACACACUCUUGAAUGUAACAGAAUGUCUCUUGUGCAUAAUGUACAAUUAAA
rnacentral:misc_RNA from 1 species